AAGACGUCCCCAAAUGACUAUUCGCUUAAAGAUAAACGGCAAACUAUCAAGUUCAUAACAGUCAUCUAAAGGAUAGAUACAUUUAUGUGAGAUGCAGAUUGGGAUGGAAAUAUUCUACCAGAUAUGAUGCUUAUUUCAAGAACAAACGAGCCACAUCCUGGGAGUAUCAAUGAGAACACCAUAGGGCUGUUUAUUUGGAGCAUGCUAGGGUGGAGGGCCCUGCUGCUGAGAGGAUGACGACAGGAAGAGGAUGCCUUAACG
ensembl:processed_transcript